CGGCGCGGGCGUCUGAUCGCUGGCGACGCCGCUGUCGUCGCGCGCGACGGGUGUGUCGUCCGCGCCGUGGAUCGUGACCGUGAGCGUCGCC
rnacentral:tRNA from 1 species